UAAUUUGAGAGUUUGAUCCUGGCUCAGGACGAACGCUGGCGGCGUGCCUAAUACAUGCAAGUCGAACGAACUCUGGUAUUGAUUGGUGCUUGCAUCAUGAUUUACAUUUGAGUGAGUGGCGAACUGGUGAGUAACACGUGGGAAACCUGCCCAGAAGCGGGGGAUAACACCUGGAAACAGAUGCUAAUACCGCAUAACAACUUGGACCGCAUGGUCCGAGCUUGAAAGAUGGCUUCGGCUAUCACUUUUGGAUGGUCCCGCGGCGUAUUAGCUAGAUGGUGGGGUAACGGCUCACCAUGGCAAUGAUACGUAGCCGACCUGAGAGGGUAAUCGGCCACAUUGGGACUGAGACACGGCCCAAACUCCUACGGGAGGCAGCAGUAGGGAAUCUUCCACAAUGGACGAAAGUCUGAUGGAGCAACGCCGCGUGAGUGAAGAAGGGUUUCGGCUCGUAAAACUCUGUUGUUAAAGAAGAACAUAUCUGAGAGUAACUGUUCAGGUAUUGACGGUAUUUAACCAGAAAGCCACGGCUAACUACGUGCCAGCAGCCGCGGUAAUACGUAGGUGGCAAGCGUUGUCCGGAUUUAUUGGGCGUAAAGCGAGCGCAGGCGGUUUUUUAAGUCUGAUGUGAAAGCCUUCGGCUUAACCGAAGAAGUGCAUCGGAAACUGGGAAACUUGAGUGCAGAAGAGGACAGUGGAACUCCAUGUGUAGCGGUGAAAUGCGUAGAUAUAUGGAAGAACACCAGUGGCGAAGGCGGCUGUCUGGUCUGUAACUGACGCUGAGGCUCGAAAGUAUGGGUAGCAAACAGGAUUAGAUACCCUGGUAGUCCAUACCGUAAACGAUGAAUGCUAAGUGUUGGAGGGUUUCCGCCCUUCAGUGCUGCAGCUAACGCAUUAAGCAUUCCGCCUGGGGAGUACGGCCGCAAGGCUGAAACUCAAAGGAAUUGACGGGGGCCCGCACAAGCGGUGGAGCAUGUGGUUUAAUUCGAAGCUACGCGAAGAACCUUACCAGGUCUUGACAUACUAUGCAAAUCUAAGAGAUUAGACGUUCCCUUCGGGGACAUGGAUACAGGUGGUGCAUGGUUGUCGUCAGCUCGUGUCGUGAGAUGUUGGGUUAAGUCCCGCAACGAGCGCAACCCUUAUUAUCAGUUGCCAGCAUUAAGUUGGGCACUCUGGUGAGACUGCCGGUGACAAACCGGAGGAAGGUGGGGAUGACGUCAAAUCAUCAUGCCCCUUAUGACCUGGGCUACACACGUGCUACAAUGGAUGGUACAACGAGUUGCGAACUCGCGAGAGUAAGCUAAUCUCUUAAAGCCAUUCUCAGUUCGGAUUGUAGGCUGCAACUCGCCUACAUGAAGUCGGAAUCGCUAGUAAUCGCGGAUCAGCAUGCCGCGGUGAAUACGUUCCCGGGCCUUGUACACACCGCCCGUCACACCAUGAGAGUUUGUAACACCCAAAGUCGGUGGGGUAACCUUUUAGGAACCAGCCGCCUAAGGUGGGACAGAUGAUUAGGGUGAAGUCGUAACAAGGUAGCCGUAGGAGAACCUGCGGCUGGAUCACCUCCUUU
rnacentral:rRNA from 2 species